AGAGUUUGAUCAUGGCUCAGAUUGAACGCUGGCGGCAUGCCUUACACAUGCAAGUCGAGCGGCAGCGCGGGGGCAACCCUGGCGGCGAGCGGCGGACGGGUGAGUAAUACAUCGGAACGUGUCCCGUAGUGGGGGAUAGCCCGGCGAAAGCCGGAUUAAUACCGCAUAUGCUCUACGGAGGAAAGUGGGGGACUCGCAAGGGCCUCACGCUAUGGGAGCGGCCGAUGUCCGAUUAGCUUGUUGGCGGGGUAAUGGCCCACCAAGGCGACGAUCGGUAGCUGGUCUGAGAGGAUGAUCAGCCACACUGGGACUGAGACACGGCCCAGACUCCUACGGGAGGCAGCAGUGGGGAAUUUUGGACAAUGGGGGAAACCCUGAUCCAGCCAUGCCGCGUGCGGGAAGAAGGCCUUCGGGUUGUAAACCGCUUUUGGUCGGAAAGAAAAGGCGCACCCUAAUACGGGGCGUUCUUGACGGUACCGGCAGAAUAAGCACCGGCUAACUACGUGCCAGCAGCCGCGGUAAUACGUAGGGUGCGAGCGUUAAUCGGAAUUACUGGGCGUAAAGCGUGCGCAGGCGGUUCUCCAAGUCCGUUGUGAAAGCCCCGGGCUCAACCUGGGAAUGGCAGUGGAAACUAGGGGACUUGAAUCUGGCAGAGGGGGGUGGAAUUCCACGUGUAGCAGUGAAAUGCGUAGAGAUGUGGAGGAACACCGAUGGCGAAGGCAGCCCCCUGGGCUGAGAUUGACGCUCAGGCACGAAAGCGUGGGGAGCAAACAGGAUUAGAUACCCCAGUAGUCC
rnacentral:rRNA from 1 species